UUUGUUUUUCCCUGCAGAGAUCUGAUUUUGUUUAGCACAGUGUCGUCCCCAAAAGCAGCUUCCUUUGAGGACGGUGCUGUUAAUAUUUUAUUUCUAAACCAGUCUUCUGAAAAAUAGCAGAGCUUCAGCAAGGAGCUCUAGUAUUUCCCAUCUGCCAGCAGAAAUCCUGCCUGAGCCGCACUGCAGUGCAUUGGAUGAUUCACUUUAGUUUUUGGAUCAGAGCAGCUUCUUCACUCUGCUCUCGUUCUUCACUAGGGAGUAAAUUGGGAUUAAGAGACAGAAGCCUUGAGAGCAAGAUCUCGCUCAUUAAUACAGAGAGAGUCCAUCUGUGUGGUGAAUGACCAGGAGCAGCUGGAGACAUGAGAUCAAGACCACAAGGGAGAGUUGCAGGAGGCAUCGCAAGCAGAGCUUUGAUGCUGCUGAUCAGAGAUGGACCUUGGUGAAAACUGGGAGCUGGAUGAAGCCAACUGGUUGUCUCAUGGCGGGAUCCAUCCCUUUGUCGGCGUGAAAGGAGACAAUGAGCUCUCUGAAGGUUCACCAGCUCUGUUUGCUCGGGAUCAGCUGGGUAAGUCCACAUGCAGUACUUCUUCAUCAUUCUUUUUUCUUCUGUGCUCAGUAGAGCAAUUAGGAGAUGACUCAGUUGAAACUCAGGGCAGAUGCCAAAUGCUUUCCACUGCUGAAAUGCAUCAUUACCAGUUCGUUUUUCCAUGUUGCUUUUGAACAACAUCCAUCAGAGGGAAGGACUGCUCAACAUUAGAGGUGCUCAGCAUCUUUCUGUGUGAAAUGUGUGCAGAAUUUCUUCCUGGUAGAGGAGCUGCCACUUGCCCAGUUCAGCACUUUGGGAUACUUGUGAGAUCUGGGCUGGAAACCCUGGCUGGCAUUUUGUGACUCUCUGACACCUUGCAACAGAGUGAGAGGGCUUUUUUUUUUAACCCUGGGAGCCAGAAGUAGAGGUGUGGAAAGCAAUCCUAACAUCAGUGAGUAUCUCUGAAUGAAUUAGAGGUGGGGUGAGGAGAUGAACUGUGAGUUGGACAGGGGGACAUCAAGGUACCAGUCCCUCCUGAGACCAUACAGGAAGGCUAUGGAUGUAGCACAUGGAAAUUCUCAGGUUAAGGCAGAUGGGGAGAUGCUGGGCUCAGAUCUGUGACUGCCGUGGGACUGCCCAGCAUGGUGCCCAUCACUACUGGCAGAGCACCAGCACUCCUCCCCAGGGAAAGGUCACCUUCUCUUCAGUUCACAGGCGAUGGUUUCCCCACUGCUCUUGAAAUCCAUCUCGGCCCCAGUAAGGAUGCUCAGUGUGAAUGUGCUGGGCUGCUCACUGCAUGAGGCACUGGAGGUAGGAGGGUAAAAGUCCAGGAAUCCAGAAUGGUGAUUGUUGUCAUGUGCAUCUGCCAGAAACCACUGCUGCUAAGAGCCAGAAUCUUGAAAAGGUCCUACAAAUAGCAGAAUGCCCAUGAACUGCAUGAUGCUUUGCUGGCUCCAGAGCAGGUGACUGGGUCACCAGCUGUCCUCAUGGGCAGCUUCAUACAUACAAUUGCAUUUUAAAGAAGUUCUUGUGAGCCUUCUCCACUUGGUGUCAGGAUAGACACUGCUUUAGUGCAGUCUCUAUGGCCACGUGGGUGUCUAACAGGGAAUGGGAGUAAAGCCAGCAGACUCCCCUUGGCUGCCUCAUUCACUGCCCAGCUGAUUUAAAACAAAUGCAGUUACUUUAAAACACAUU
ensembl:lncRNA